UUCAGUAAAGUAUUGUUUAGAAUCAAAGCAGCCUUACCUAAAUGAUUGUAAUCACAUUAAAUAUAUUUCACAGCUUUCAACGCUCAUGAAAUACGAAAGAGGCUCACUGCAGAAAAUCUACAAGCGCGAGUUGUUUUGCUGGACGGAUUGAUUACAGAAUCUUUUCUACUUCUGGACCGACCUCCAGCUCGAAAAAGACGACAAGCUCUGGCUCGCAACCGAGAAAAAGUUAAAAUCCUGCUACAAGCCGUCAGAACAGUGCUGCAAAAUGUUUCCUCCGACGCAAAGGUGAUUGUGAAAUGAUUCAUGUAUGAUUUGUCUCUUAUAACUCAGUAAAGAAUGGAACACCAACAAGCUAGAGUUGAAUCAUCUCAAUCAGAUUAUUCUCAACAAAUAGCUGACAAUAUCCAAACUCUGCAAACACUUGCAUUAGCAUUGAAUACAGGGGGAAAUGACUUUUCACAGAGCCCUGCUCUUAGCCCUGCUAAAUCAUCAAUCUCUGAUAUUUUAAACGCAUCUGAACUCUCAGACUAUUUCAGACAAAUUAAUGAUGCCGUUCACGGUUUAAAUGACUACAUAUCUCCGCAAAACUCACCGGCUGCCUCAUCUGCGUUGGAUGAAACUUUUCAAAAUACAGAAUCUCAAUCAGAUUAUUCCCAACAAAUUAUUAAUUCCAUCCAGAUU